rnacentral:rRNA from 1 species
GACGAACGCUGGCGGCGUGCUUAAUACAUGCAAGUCGAACGGACAGACCCUGCUCUUGCUGGUUGCUCGUUAGGCGCACGGGUGUGAAUCACAUGUGUAUCCUGUCCCUGUCUUUCGGGUAUAACCUGGAGAAUGCGGCUCUAACCGGAUAGAAUCUCUUGAUCCGCGUUGGUCGUUGGAAAGAUUCGGCGGUUCGGGCUGGAAUAGAGGCUUACGCGCUGGUUGGGGUGGUAGUGGCGUACAAAGCCUUUGAAGGGUAGCCGGCCUGGGAGGGUGACCGGCCACAUGGGGACUGAGAUACGGCCCAGACUCCUACGGGAGGCAGCAGGGGGGAAUAUUGCACAAUGGGCGGAAGCCUGAUGCAGCAACGCCGCGUGCGGGAUGACGGCCUUCGGGUGGUAAACCGCUUUCGCCUGUGACGAAGAGUGAGUGACGGUAAUGGGUAAAGAAGCACCGGCUAACUACGUG